rnacentral:rRNA from 1 species
AGCUCAAAUUUAAAAUCUGGCGGUCUCCGGCCGUCCGAGUUGUAAUUUAGAGAAGCGCUAUCCGUGCUGGACCGUGUAUAAGUCUCCUGGAAUGGAUCGUCAUAGAGGGUGAGAAUCCCGUCUUUGACACGGACUACCAGUGCAUUGUGAUGCGCUCUCGACGAGUCGAGUUGUUUGGGAAUGCAGCUCAAAAUGGGUGGUAAAUGCCAUCUAAAGCUAAAUAUUGGCGAGAGACCGAUAGCGAACAAGUACCGUGAGGGAAAGAUGAAAAGAACUUUGGAAAGAGAGUUAAACAGUACGUGAAAUUGUCGAAAGGGAAACGGUUGCAGUCAGUCGCGUCCGCCGGGGAUCAACCUUGCUUUUGCUUGGCGUAUUUCCCGGUGGAUGGGUCAGCAUCAGUUUUGACCGCAGUUGAAAGGCUGGAGGAAUGUGGCACCUUCGGGUGUGUUAUAGCCUCCUGUCAUAUGCUGCGGUUGGGACUGAGGAACUCAGCACGCCGAAAGGCCGGGAUUCGUCCACGUUCGUGCUUAGGAUGCUGGCAUAAUGUCUGUAACCGACCCGUCUUGAAACACGGACCAAGGAGUCUAACAUGCACGCGAGUGUUUGGGUGGCAAACCCGAGCGCGUAAUGAAAGUGAAAGUUGAGACCUCUGUCGUGGAGGGCAUCGACGCCCGGACCAGAACUUUUGGGACGGAUCCGCGGUAGAGCGUGUAUGUUGGGACCCGAAAGAUGGUGAACUAUGCCUGAAUAGGGCGAAGCCAGAGGAAACUCUGGUGGAGGCUCGUAGCGAUUCUGACGUGCAAAUCGAUCCGUCGAAUUUGGGUAUAGGGGCGAAAGA